rnacentral:rRNA from 1 species
CAGACCGCCAGCUAAGGUCCCAAAGUCAUGGUUAAGUGGGAAACGAUGUGGGAAGGCCCAGACAGCCAGGAUGUUGGCUUAGAAGCAGCCAUCAUUUAAAGAAAGCGUAAUAGCUCACUGGUCGAGUCGGCCUGCGCGGAAGAUGUAACGGGGCUAAACCAUGCACCGAAGCUGCGGCAGCGACGCUUAUGCGUUGUUGGGUAGGGGAGCGUUCUGUAAGCCUGUGAAGGUGUGCUGUGAGGCAUGCUGGAGGUAUCAGAAGUGCGAAUGCUGACAUAAGUAACGAUAAAGCGGGUGAAAAGCCCGCUCGCCGGAAGACCAAGGGUUCCUGUCCAACGUUAAUCGGGGCAGGGUGAGUCGACCCCUAAGGCGAGGCCGAAAGGCGUAGUCGAUGGGAAACAGGUUAAUAUUCCUGUACUUGGUGUUACUGCGAAGGG